UCACCACCACUGUAAAGUUUUGUCAACCCAAAUAAAGGGGUAAACUGAGACAAACUCGAAUGACCAGAUGCUGCGUUCAUCCAGGAACAGCAGAGGGAUUGCAGUUGGCGAGACACAUGCUUGGAGCAAGUGGCAAGGAGUCUGUGGAAGGUCCUGGGUGGCUGCAUUCGUGGAUGGGAGUGCAAAGAGGAGGCGUCUACCCCAAGUCCCAGCCAGGAGUUCCCUGGCUUGAGGUUGGAGACAGACUCUUGGCAGGCACUCAUUGGUCAGGAGCUGAGACUGUGCGUGACCCAACUUCCCAGGUCCAUCUCCCUGGGGCCCAAGAGGUCAGAGCAUCAAGGAAAGCCACCGGAGAGUACCAGCCCACACCGUUGAGAAUCUGGAUUUGGUGUCUUGAAGAGAAAAGGAAAGCCCACGUCUAAACCCAGAGCACACGGAGGCUCUGGGGUGGACGCGCUCAGCGGCGGUGGCGCGGGUGGUGUUCGUGCUGCUGGCUGCUGUGUCCUCUCACGGUUCAGUGUCGCCUCCCCAGCUCCCGUGCCUCUGUUUGCCUCCUGCUUCCCGUCAUGGCCUUCACCUCUUUGACAAGUGCUCUUCCACCCGACCCGGCCAGCUGCUUCCCUGCGCUGCCCUAGAAACAAACGGCUCUCCCGUUCCGGGCCAGGCCGCCCGCUAGCUCGCGGUGUUGGUGCCCGUGGAAUCCGGGCUGGAGUCCCAGUGUGUUUGGAGUCCUCUUGCACUCCGAGGUUCUGAGCCUGCCUGUGCCCGUGUCCUGCGUUUCCCCAAUGGUCCUGUCUGUCCUGCCACUGGCCUGUCGCUGCUAUGUCCCCUGGACCGCAAGCCCAGUGAGGCUGCUGCCUCAGGCUGCGGGGACAGUCGCUCUGUGCCCCCCCCCCCACUGUUUCCAGGACACAUCUCUAUGUGUUCUUGGUCAAGGGCUCCGUGGACCUGUGCCCUUUAUGAAAUGGAACUGUAGUGGUAUGACUGGGAACGGUCCACGGGCCCUGUGUGCAGAGAAGCCAUGUAUCCAGUCGAACAGGCUCCUUGCCUGGCUCCCAGGACACAGGGUUAACCAAGAUUUCUGUGGGCUGGGCGGAUGCCGGAGCCCAGGCAGCAGGGAGGACACUGUGGGCCAGACAGCGUGGCUGGGCCUGGCCGUGAGGGCAGUACAUCUGCUCUUCCCUCUUUGUUGCAGGGUAGAAAGGGAAAAGAUGAAAGAAAGACUGAGGCAGAACCACAUCUUUCCUGGAAGGGUUUCCUGGCUUCCAUCAGACUCCCCCGCCCCUCCAACCCGAGCAGAACAGAGUCUCUCGACAUUUUUUGCCAGAUCAUUUUCCAUCAGGGAGCCAUCCUGGACACUGCAGGGUGUUGAGUAGCACCCCUAGCUUCCAACUGCUAGGUACUGGCAGCACCCUGAGACUAGUUUGACACCCAAGGAUGUCUCCAGACAUUGCCAGAUGUUGCCCCUGGUUGAGACCCCAGCUCUGGAAGAAGAAUCGCUCCUAGUAAAUAAAGAAGCCAAAGUAUUCA
rnacentral:lncRNA from 1 species